CCUUUCCUGCUGCCUGAUCCUGCUAUGAAGUCAUAUCCUUUAUGACAUCACAAUCUGCUGCCCUGGAAAUGAUGGAGCUGUCACAAAUUCAGCGUUAGGGUCACUGCACUGCAGGAUCACACAGGAGCAGAUGGGCUAGGAGAGAAA
rfam:Chelonia mydas contig205638, whole genome shotgun sequence.